AUUUACGAGUUUCAACUCCGAUGUGGUAAACUACAUGUAGAUCGCCUGCCAAUUCAUACGCUCACCCUUCGUUGUCUUCAUUGGAAAGUUAAGAAUGUUGAAUUUGUCCAUGACAAAUCCCCCAGAUGUUCGAGUUUUACAAAAUUGAAGAAUAAUUCUUGAUAUUCAAACAUACUUGAAAUACCAGAUAUUAUGUUAUAGGAAAGUUUCGUCAAGAUACGAAACACGAGUUUUAUGAAUCUCCAGAGAACUCAAACAGUGUAUCUAUUUAUUUACUUAAUUUUUUUAUCCUGUUGUUCAAAAGUCUGACUUUCUCUUGGAAUGGAAGAUGAUUAUAUAGCCUGCACCUCUAGACUGAGUUCUGUCCAAUAUUACACACAUCAAGGAGAGCCACCUCACACACUGGUACAAAUCCACGAUUGGACAUUGACCAUGAUAUGCAGAUUAAAUCAGUAAUCUUAGUUUUCCAUACUGGAAUAUUCACAUUCACCAAUGUUUAGUCAGCAAUACAUUUUUGUUGUUUCAUUUUAUCAUAUUUCUCAAUAUAGGAACUGUGACGCGCCAAUGACCUCUCAAGUGAACAUGAAGAAAUAUUAAGUUGUGUCACAAAUAUGAAUACAUGUGUAAGAACUAAAUGUCUAGUUUCUUUAUACUAUGGGGAUAGAAAACAAUAGAAUCAUGGAGUAAUAUCGGAGUGGACACAUUGUUUAUUUACAGUCUGUUGAUGUACAUAUCAGCGGUGUGAGUUACUGCUUAACAUCGCCUCCACCAUCUGCGUUUACAUGGCCGUUGUCGUCUGACAUUUAUAUUGUACAUUCCUCCUCGCCUUGCAGUCAUCAUCAAUGGAACUUCCUCAAUACCACCGGCUGCUAAAAACAGAACUGAUUAAAGAGGAGGGGGCAUCGUCGCAAACCAUGGUUUUGAGUUCGCACACGUUCCCUCAUGAUGGUGAUGUGUUAGGGAGUGGGUGUUCACGUGCAUUAAUCAACAUUUCAAAUUUCCGAAGCUUUCUUUCGACAAAAAGAAUCAAGAAGAUGGUGGUGGAAAUCUAAAUGGUUCAACCCCUCCCUUCCCCUUUCCAGUUCGUCUUCCACUUUCCGACGCCCCCGUAAUUCCAUAUGUUGGAGAGCACGUGCAUUAACUCAAAUCUUUGUAAAACUUUUACAUAUCAAACUGAUGAAUAGUCAAUGUACAUUGAGUGCCUCACGAACACGUACAAUGCAUGCAUGUCCUCCUCCGCCGAUAUGUCGUUUAUGUAACCUUUGUUUUCCCAUCUAUUCUUUUCUAAAGCUUGACUCAUCUUUAACUUUCCGUUUCUGCAAAAUCAACUUGAAUUUGAUCACAGUUGAUAAGGGCACCCAGGAAGGAAUUGAUAUCGGAUAUUUAAGAUAUCGCAAGGUAAAAAUAAAACCGAUAUCGUUAAAAUACCACAUUUCGGAAAACAGAAACGUGGUUUCGCAUUUACUUUUGAGCGAUUGGUUGAUUGUAUGUUGUUUAACGUCCCUCUCGAGAAUUUUUCACUCAUAUGGAGACAUCUUCAUUGGCGGUUAAGGGUUGCACUUUAGGCACUUACGGCCUUUGAGCAAGGAGGGAUUUUUAUCGUCCUGCUAUGGAGAAGAAUAAUUCUUACCCUCAAGUAGGACCCAGGGUCACCUCAUUUUAGUAUGACCCCGGGUCACCCUAUUUUCUACACGCUUUCCUACGCUAUAAAAAUACUCCCACAUAAAAUGAAAGUAGAAUGCAGACAAUGUAUAUUGCGUAGUACCGAAGGAAAAUGAAUACUGAGCAAGUCAUUAUUGAUCAUUUACAAGUCAUCAUUUCUUAGCAAAAAAUUGCCUAAUUCUAAACAUGAUAAUUCACUGUUAUCUGAAUCCCUCAGAUUUUCCCAAAUACGAAAAUGUGAUAUAAACCUAGCUUAUAAUGAAUACAAUGCAGUGAAAUUGAACUUGGAACAUCAUCCUUUUAUUUAUUUGUAAUUUAUUUACAGAUGAUUACAAGAUAAUGUUACACUUAGAAGGUGACCUCUCUGGUCACCUAUAGAUUUCAGACAUGAAAAUCAUGUUACGGUGGAUUAUAUUUCAUGAUGCUACAACAGUGUCAAGGUGAAAUGUUUAGCUCACCUGAGCCAAAGUAUAAAAUGAGCUCAAAUGAUCAUUUGUGUAUCUGUUUGUAAAUCUUCUACUGGGCAGAUUUUCACCAAACCCAAGUAAGUGUUGUCCAAAUUUAUGUUCAGAUGAUCCAUAGGUAUUUUGUCACAGGCAAUCGACGUUUUAAAUAUCUAUUAUAAAAAAAAUUGUCUUCCUGUAAAGUUGUAAACAUAAUAUUCACAUGGCCUUGUGAAUAUUAUGUUUACAGGAAGACAAUUUUAUUAUUAUAGAUAUUUAAAACGUCGAGUGCCUGUGGUAUUUUGUCUAAGUUAUGUUAUGGUUUGACUAUGUAAUUGUUCAUUAGAAUUGCAGUAAAUAGAAAUAUAACAUAUUUAAGGCGUGUCUGUAAGAUGUGUAUAAGAGAUAACGGGAAAUAUAGAUUUCGGACAUAGAAGGAGAUUGGUCAUGUGGUCACUCUACUCGGCUAUGUAUUUGAAACAGAAAUAGAAAUAUAAACAAGGGUGACUUAGGGUCAUCCAUACACUGAGAUGACGGUUACCUCAGGACACCUUUCUAUCAAUUUUAUCAAUGAUGACCAGAGGUACCCUUACAUGACCAUUACAUCCAUGGGUAACCAGUGGAAACCUUAUAUGACCCUUACAUCAAUAGGUGACCAGAGGUAACCCUUAUAUGACAUUUACAUCAAAGGGUGACCAGAGGGAACCAAUAUGCGAAAAUUAAAUCAAUGGAUGGCCAGGGAACAUCAAUGGGUGACCAGAAGUAAUCCUUAUAUUACCAUUACAUCAAUACAUUAUAAUGGUGACCACGGGUAACCUUUGUAGAACCAUUAAUCAAUCGGUUAGUUGAAACAAUUCCCCUGUCGAUAUGGUCCCACAAAAGCAUAUUUGUUUUGGUUUUGUAUAAUGAUGAAUUUUAUUCAUCUGUAAGCAUUGAAACAACAAAAAUCACUCUAUCAGGAAACGAAAUAUAGAUUGAUAAUAAUAAUGACAGUAAUUAAUAAACAUAUUUAAAGAAAAACACAGAAAGGUUGAAAGAUCUAAAAUAAAAGGAUCCAUUCAUAACAGAAUGUAAAUUGGAGCAUGUCUACCUGCCGAAAUAUUUGUGCAUCGACAAUGACAAAGUCAUGCAGAAAGUAGGCAUAUUCACCCUUUUCUAACAGAUAGUAUUUAUUAUUACGCGCAUUUAUUUUGAGAUAUAAGAACCAUUUUCGUGUGACCCCGGGUCCUACUUGAGGGUACGAAUUAUCUUGUUUUUUGCGGUCUCCUCCGAAGGACCGCCCCAUUUAGUCGCCUCUUACGACAAGCAAGGGGUACUGAGUACCUAUACUAACCCGGAUCCCCACGAUGAUAGGCACCGAAUUUCAGAAGCCCGUACUUAUCUCAAACUCUUCGUUCGCUUUUCACGAGUAGGUUUACAACGUUGAAAUUGAUUAUUUAAACCCAUCUUUUUCGGUCAUUUCAUCUCUGCCUGCUUGAUUUGUUUGAUAGAGAGUAUGUAUAUCCUGAUAUUAUGAUUGUUGAUGAGUAUAUCGCUCUUUAUCUUACAUUCCUCACGUAAUUCGCACAAAAUCGUAAUAAUUUGUAAUGCGUCGUACAUGUGUACAUGUAUGAGGGUCAAAAUCUUGCAUCCUGAGAGGACUGUGCUCCGUGUUUUGUACUGUAUCGUGAGGCUUUAAAGUUUGGGCUUCUAAACAUGAAUUUUAUCAUGAUCCUUAUGAUAUAUAUUUGUCAGUUUU